rnacentral:pre_miRNA from 13 species
CAACUAGUGGAUUUGGCAAGAUGUCGGAAUAGCUGAAAGUCACACAAAAUCAUAAAAUGUUUGCCGUUUUGUUAUUGUUGUGA